rnacentral:rRNA from 1 species
AUUGAACGCUGGCGGCAUGCCUUACACAUGCGAGUCGAACGGCAGCAUGAUCUAGCUUGCUAGAUUGAUGCGAGUGGCGAACGGGUGAGUAAUACAUCGGAACGUGCCCUGUAGUGGGGGAUAACUAGUCGAAAGAUUAGCUAAUACCGCAUACGACCUGAGGGUGAAAGUGGGGGACCGCAAGGCCUCAUGCUAUAGGAGCGGCCGAUGUCUGAUUAGCUAGUUGGUGGGGUAAAGGCCCACCAAGGCGACGAUCAGUAGCUGGUCUGAGAGGACGAUCAGCCACACUGGGACUGAGACACGGCCCAGACUCCUACGGGAGGCAGCAGUGGGGAAUUUUGGACAAUGGGGGCAACCCUGAUCCAGCAAUGCCGCGUGUGUGAAGAAGGCCUUCGGGUUGUAAAGCACUUUUGUCCGGAAAGAAAUCGCACUUACUAAUAUUAGGUGUGGAUGACGGUACCGGAAGAAUAAGGACCGGCUAACUACGUG